rnacentral:lncRNA from 1 species
CUCGGGCCGUGCUCGUGCCUGGAGCACAGAAACUGCGCAGGACGCAGAGAGCCCCAAGCCCUGGAGGAGCCCAAUUUGUUUCUGUGGCAUGCCAACCUCACACCUUUCCUUCCUGUUUGGCAUCAAGAGAGGGAAGUCGCUUUUUCAUGUCUGUAUGGCCACAUUCACUUGUUAUGUAAGUCGGCUGUGGUUGAUGUUCUGUUUAGAGUGGCUAUUGGGUUUGAAAAUUGGUAUCUGGUUAUAACAUCCUCAUAAAGAAAAAUUCCAUGCACAACGUGAGGAAGCUUGUAAUCCCACCAGGCAACUGGUAAUGCUGGCUGAAAUGUUGCCUAGCUUCAAAUAGGAGCAAGUCAGACACUUAGGGAAUGAAUACUU